AAACCAACAGGGAUUGCCUCAGUAACGGCGAGUGAAGCGGCAAGAGCUCAAAUUUGAAAUCUGGCGCAAGCCCGAGUUGUAAUUUGAAGAGGAUGUCACGGUUGGGGUCGCUGCCGAAGUUCCUUGGAACAGGACGUCUUAGAGGGUGAGAAUCCCGUCCGGCUGCCGGCCUGCACCAUGUGUGACUCCUUCGAAGAGUCGAGUUGUUUGGGAAUGCAGCUCAAAAUGGGUGGUAAAUUUCAUCUAAAGCUAAAUAUUGGCGGGAGACCGAUAGCGCACAAGUAGAGUGAUCGAAAGAUGAAAAGCACUUUGAAAAGAGAGUUAAACAGUACGUGAAAUUGUUGAAAGGGAAGCGCUUGCGAUCAGACUCGCCUGCAGUUGAUCAACGUUCGUUCUCGUUCGUGCACUCUGCUGCUGGCGGGCCAGCAUCGGCCGGGACGGCGGGACAAAGGCGUCGGGAAUGUGGCUCCUCGGAGUGUUAUAGCCCGGCGUGCAAUGCCGCCAGACCCGGUCGAGGUCCGCGCUUCGGCUAGGAUGCUGGCUUAAUGGUCGUAAGCGACCCGUCUUGAAACACGGACCAAGGAGUCUAACAUCUAUGCGAGUCUUUGGGUGUCAAACCCAUGGGCGCAAUGAAAGUGAACGGAGGUGGGAGCCUUAACCGGUGCACCAUCGACCGAUCCUGAUGUUCUCGGAUGGAUUUGAGUAUGAGCAUAGCUGUUGGGACCCGAAAGAUGGUGAACUAUGCCUGAAUAGGGUGAAGCCAGAGGAAACUCUGGUGGAGGCUCGCAGCGGUUCUGACGUGCAAAUCGAUCGUCAAAUUUGGGUAUAGGGGCGAAAGACUAAUCGAACC
rnacentral:rRNA from 1 species